rnacentral:rRNA from 1 species
AACGAACGCUGGCGGCAUGCCUAACACAUGCAAGUCGAACGAGAUCUUCGAGUCUAGUGGCGCACGGGUGCGUAACGCGUGGGAAUCUGCCCUUUGGUUCGGAAUAACAGUUGGAAACGACUGCUAAUACCGGAUGAUGACGAUAGUCCCAAGAUUUAUCGCCAGAGGAGGAGCCCGCGUAGGAUUAGCUAGUUGGUGUGGUAAAGGCGCACCAAGGCGACGAUCCUUAGCUGGUCUGAGAGGAUGAUCAGCCACACUGGGACUGAGACACGGCCCAGACUCCUACGGGAGGCAGCAGUGGGGAAUAUUGGACAAUGGGCGAAAGCCUGAUCCAGCAAUGCCGCGUGAGUGAUGAAGGCCUUAGGGUUGUAAAGCUCUUUUACCCGGGAUGAUAAUGACAGUACCGGGAGAAUAAGCUCCGGCUAACUCCGUGCCAGCAGCCGCCGUAA